CACUUGUCUCCUAAAUAGAGACUAGUAUGAAUGGCCAAAUGAAGAUUUACCUGUCUCUUGUAACCAAUCUAUUAAACUGAUCUCUCAGUACAAAAGCUGAGAUAUAAACACAAGACGAAAAGACCCUGUGGAACUUAAAGUUUAUGGCCACAUACAUGGCCAGCCUACUUUUAGUUGUGGGCAACUUUGGAAAAAAACAAAACUUCCAAUAACAAUAAAGGCAGACAUCAACCAUAAAACCACAUUGACACCAGUAUUACUGAGUAAAGAAAAAAGCUACCCCAGGGAUAACAGCGCCAUCCCCUCAUAGAGCCCCCAUCGACGAGCGGGGUUUACGACCUCGAUGUUGGAUCAGGGCCCCCAAGCAGUNCAGCAGCUGCUAAANGUUACUGUUUGUUCAACAAUUAGAAUGCCCUACGUGAUCUGAG
rnacentral:rRNA from 1 species